rnacentral:rRNA from 1 species
GAAAGUAAUUAAGGGCAAACGGUGGAUGCCUUGGCUCUCAGAGGCGAUGAAGGACGUGACAAGCUGCGAAAAGCUGCGGUGAGGAGCAAAUAUCCGUUAUAUCCGCAGGUAUCCGAAUGGGGCAACCCUCCAAGUUGAAGACUUGGAAUCCCGGCGCAAGUCGGGAAGCGAACCUGGAGAACUGAAACAUCUAAGUACCCGGAGGAAAAGAAAACAAAAGUGAUUCCCAGAGUAGUGGCGAUCGAAAUGGGAAUAGCCCAAACCGACGAUGUUUAGGCAUUGUCGGGGUUGUAGGACCGGCACCAUUAUUAUUAAUAUCAACGGGAACUACCUGGAAAGGUAGGGCACAGAAGGUGAAACCCCUGUACCGGUAAGUAUUGAUAAUAUAGCUGGUAUCCUGAGUAGGGCGGGACACGUGAAAUCCUGUCUGAACCCGCGGGGACCAUCCCGCAAGGCUAAAUACUCCUGAGAGACCGAUAGUGGACUAGUACCGUGAGGGAAAGGUGAAAAGCACCCCGAACAGGGGAGUGAAAUAGUACCUGAAACCGUUUGCUUACAAACGGUCGGAGCUCUGCCGCAAGGCGGGGUGACGGCGUGCCUUUUGCAUAAUGAGCCUACGAGUUAUCCUUACUAGCAAGGUUAAGACUUUAAGGGUCGGAGCCGAAGCGAAAGCGAGUCUGAACAGGGCGUAUAGUUAGUAGGGGUAGACGCGAAACUUUGUGAUCUAUCCUUGGUCAGGCUGAAGUUCCGGUAACACGGGAUGGAGGGCCGAACCAGUAAACGUUGAAAAGUUUUUGGAUGAACUGAGGAUAGGGGUGAAAGGCCAAUCAAACUGGGAAAUAGCUCGUACUCCCCGAAAUGCAUUUAGGUGCAGCCUUGAGUCGAGUUUUGCAGAGGUAGAGCUACUGAUAAGGCUAGAGGGCUUCAUCGCCUAUCAAACCUUGACAAACUCCGAAUGCUGCAAAAUGGUGCUCAGGAGUGAGGCUAUGGGUGCUAAGAUCCGUGGCCAAAAGGGAAAUAACCCAGACCAUCAGCUAAGGUCCCCAAGUAUAUGUUAAGUUGGAAAAACGAAGUGCGACUGCCCAGACAGCUAGGAUGUUGGCUUGGAAGCAGCCAUUCAUUUAAAGAGUGCGUAACAGCUCACUAGUCGAGCGGUUGUGCGUGGAUAAUAAUCGGGCAUAAACAUAUCACCGAAGCUGUGGUCCCGACGCGUAAGUGUCGGGAGGUAGGGGAGCAUUCCAGUCCUGCGUUGAAGGUGUACCGUAAGGUAUGCUGGAGCGUCUGGAAAAGAAAAUGUAGGCAUAAGUAACGAUAAGGCAGGCGAGAAACCUGCCCACCGAAAGACUAAGGUUUCCUGAUCAACGUUAAUCGGAUCAGGGUUAGUCGGGACCUAAGGGUAAGCCGAAAGGCGAUCUCGAUGGACAAUCGGUUAAUAUUCCGAUACCACCGCAUGUUGCGAUGGGGAGACGGAGGAGUGAAAGAACCGCCCGGUGACGGACAUCCGGGUUAAAGGGUGUAGUUAUACACAUAGGUUAACAGCUUGUGUGUGAUGAACCUGAUAGUACCGCAAGGCUUCGGCUGAACGGAUAGUGUUCCUAAUCAGACUUCCAAGAAAAUCCUCUAAGCUUCAGACAUGUGGUGCCCGUACCACAAACCGACACAGGUAGUCGAGGAGAGAAUCCUAAGGUGCUCGAGUGAUCCGUGGCUAAGGAACUAGGCAAAUUGAACCUGUAACUUAGGGAUAAAGGUUCCCCUGUUAUUAUGGGGGCGCAGAGAAAUGGCCCAGGCGACUGUUUAACAAAAACACAAGGCUUUGCGAAAUUGAAAGAUGAAGUAUAAGGCCUGACACCUGCCCGGUGCCGGAAGGUUAAGAGGGGGGGUUAUCCCGACACUUGUGUCGGGAGAAGCUCUGAAUCGAAGCCCCGGUAAACGGCGGCCGUAACUAUAACGGUCCUAAGGUAGCGAAAUUCCUUGUCGGGUAAGUUCC